rnacentral:rRNA from 1 species
AUUGAACGCUGGCGGCAUGCUUUACACAUGCAAGUCGAACGGUAACAGGCCGCUAGGUGCUGACGAGUGGCGCACGGGUGUGUAAUGCAUCGGAACGUGCCCAGUCGUGGGGGAUAACUACUCGAAAGAGGAGCUAAUACCGCAUACGAUCUAUGGAUGAAAGCGGGGGACCGUAAGGCCUCUCGCGAUUUGAGCUGCCGAUGUCCGAUUAGCUAGUUGGUGGGGUAAAGGCUCACCAAGCCAACGAUCUGUAGCUGGUCUGAGAGGACGACCAGCCACACUGGGACUGAGACACGGCCCAGACUCCUACGGGAGGCAGCAGUGGGGAAUUUUGGACAAUGGGCGCAAGCCUGAUCCAGCAAUGCCGCGUGCAGGAAGAAGGCCUUCGGGUUGUAAACUGCUUUUGUACGGAACGAAGCGGAUCUGGUUAAUACCCGGGGCUAAUGACGUUACCGUAAGAAUAAGCACCGGCUAACUACGUG